rnacentral:rRNA from 1 species
AUUGAACGCUGGCGGCAGGCCUAACACAUGCAAGUCGAGCGGGGUUUUCGGACCUAGCGGCGGACGGGUGAGUAAUGCGUAGGAAGCUACCCGAUAGAGGGGGAUACCAGUUGGAAACGACUGUUAAUACCGCAUAAUGUCUACGGACCAAAGUGUGGGACCUUCGGGCCACAUGCUAUCGGAUGCGCCUACGUGGGAUUAGCUAGUUGGUGAGGUAAUGGCUCACCAAGGCGACGAUCUCUAGCUGGUUUGAGAGGAUGAUCAGCCACACUGGAACUGAGACACGGUCCAGACUCCUACGGGAGGCAGCAGUGGGGAAUAUUGGACAAUGGGCGAAAGCCUGAUCCAGCCAUGCCGCGUGUGUGAAGAAGGCCUUCGGGUUGUAAAGCACUUUCAGUAGGGAGGAAGCGUUGAGUGUUAAUAGUACUCAGCGUUGACGUUACCUACAGAAGAAGCACCGGCUAACUCUGUGCCAGCAGCCGCGGUAACAC